rnacentral:rRNA from 1 species
GCUUAACCGAAGAAGUGCAUCGGAAACUGGGUGACUUGAGUGCAGAAGAGGACAGUGGAACUCCAUGUGUAGCGGUGGAAUGCGUAGAUAUAUGGAAGAACACCAGUGGCGAAGGCGGCUGUCUGGUCUGCAACUGACGCUGAGGCUCGAAAGCAUGGGUAGCGAACAGGAUUAGAUACCCUGGUAGUCCAUGCCGUAAACGAUGAGUGCUAGGUGUUGGAGGGUUUCCGCCCUUCAGUGCCGGAGCUAACGCAUUAAGCACUCCGCCUGGGGAGUACGACCGCAAGGUUGAAACUCAAAGGAAUUGACGGGGGCCCGCACAAGCGGUGGAGCAUGUGGUUUAAUUCGAAGCUACGCGAAGAACCUUACCAGGUCUUGACAUCUUGCGCUAACCUAAGAGAUUAGGUGUUCCCUUCGGGGACGCAAUGACAGGUGGUGCAUGGUCGUCGUCAGCUCGUGUCGUGAGAUGUUGGGUUAAGUCCCGCAACGAGCGCAACCCUUGUUACUAGUUGCCAGCAUUCAGUUGGGCACUCUAGUGAGACUGCCGGUGACAAACCGGAGGAAGGUGGGGACGACGUCAGAUCAUCAUGUCCCUUAUGACCUGGGCUACACACGUGCUACAAUGGUCGGUACAACG